rnacentral:misc_RNA from 1 species
UUGAUUCAUUUUUCUUGUGAGACUCAGAAUAUGCCACUAUGGUUUAAACAAGAGUUUGGGUCCCCCGGCGGGCGCCUGGUUCCGGCGGCUUUUUGGGCCUUCCGGGGCGUUAACCCGCCGAAGCAACAGUAAAGGUAUAAGUUCACAGGGGUUUGGGAGUAGAAAAACUCGGUAAUGAUCCCUCCGCUGGUUCACCAACGGAGA